ACGGAAGAUGCGAGCGUUAUCCGGAUUUAUUAGGUUUAAAGGGUGCGUAGGUGGAUUAAUAAGUCAGUGGUGAAAGUCUGCAGCUUAACUGUGGCUCUGCCGUGGAUACUGUUAGUCUUGAGUAUGGUCAAGGAAGGGGGAAUUUGUAAUGUAGCGGUGAAAUGCGUAGAUAUUGCGAAGAACACCAGUUGCGAAGGCACCUUACUGGACUGUUACUGACGCUGAGACGCGAAAGCGAGGGUAGCAAACAG
rnacentral:rRNA from 1 species